CCUACGGGAGGCAGCAGUGGGGAAUCUUAGACAAUGGGCGCAAGCCUGAUCUAGCCAUGCCGCGUGAGUGACGAAGGUCUUAGGAUCGUAAAGCUCUUUCGCCAGAGAUGAUAAUGACAGUAUCUGGUAAAGAAACCCCGGCUAACUCCGUGCCAGCAGCCGCGGUAAUACGGAGGGGGUUAGCGUUGUUCGGAAUUACUGGGCGUAAAGCGUACGUAGGCGGAUUGGAAAGUAGGGGGUGAAAUCCCAGGGCUCAACCCUGGAACUGCCUUUAAAACUGUUAGUCUUGAGAUCGAGAGAGGUGAGUGGAAUUCCAAGUGUAGAGGUGAAAUUCGUAGAUAUUUGGAGGAACACCAGUGGCGAAGGCGGCUCACUGGCUCGAUACUGACGCUGAGGUACGAAAGUGUGGGGAGCAAACAGGAUUAGAUACCCUGGUAGUCCACACCGUAAACGAUGAAUGCCAGUCGUCGGGCAGUAUACUGUUCGGUGACACACCUAACGGAUUAAGCAUUCCGCCUGGGGAGUACGGUCGCAAGAUUAAAACUCAAAGGAAUUGACGG
rnacentral:rRNA from 1 species